rnacentral:lncRNA from 1 species
GGCAUCCUAGGUGCUUCUGUUCUGCCAUCAGCACACCUUGGGUUCUCCUCCUAGUCACCUAUCCACAGUAGACAUCUCAUCUGGAGCAAUGAGAACUGAAUAAGGGAGAAACAAAUGCUGGGUAGACAGAAGCGACGGAUGUGCAUGAGGAGCUGAGACAGACAGCUGCCUGGAAUUGAGCCUUACUUAACCUGGAAGCAUCCUGUUGUACCUUGUCAUCUGGCUCUGUGGACAGGCCUUUCUGGUCUUCACACUGAUGCAGGUACUAACUCAAUCUCAGCCGGUCACGGUGGUUCACGCCUCUAAUCCCAACACUUUGCGAGGUGGAGACGGGUAGAUCGCUUGAGGUCAGGAGUUCAAGACCAGUCUGGCCAACAUGGCAAAACCCCAUCUCUACCAAAAACACAAAAAUUAGUGGGGUGUGGUGCCCCAUGUCUAUAGUCCCACCUACUUGGGAAGCUGAGGUGGGAGAGUCACUUGAACCCUGGAGGCAGAGGCUGCAGUGAGCUGAGAUGGUGCCACUGCACUCCAGCCUGGGUGACAGACAGAGACUGUCCCCCCACCCCCGAAAAAAAAAAUCAAUCUUGCAUUCCUAACAUCAGUCGCACUUGGUCAUGGUACGUAAUUCUUUUUGUAUGCUACUAGAUUCGGUUUUCUACUAAGGCAACCACUAUUAAUUAUUAAAAACUGCACAGAUGAUCUGAACAUUGUACAAAAACUUAAGCAGAAUUCUUCUAUGGAAGGCUUUGUUUUCAGGUUAAAAUAAGGCAUGUUCACAAUUAGUAAUACAUGAACUAUUAUCUUCUAGUAAUUCUUGCCCGUAUGAGCAUAAAGCCACUACAGAUAUUCCGGAAAUGAACUCAGACCUUGACUUGCACAUAGUAAUAACAGAAAAAGGCACUGCGAAUCCCCAAUAGCCGCUUUAUAAGAAAGGAAUCUGAGUCAAAUUCUUAGACAUCAGUUUAAAGUCUAGAAGACAAAGUAACCUUUAAGAAAAAGACCUAACAUCAGCCGGGCACGGUGGUUCACCAAUCCCAGCACUUUGGGAGGCCGAGGCAGGCAGAUCAC